rnacentral:rRNA from 1 species
UACGUAGGGUGCAAGCGUUAAUCGGAAUUACUGGGCGUAAAGCGUGCGCAGGCGGUUUUGUAAGACUGUCGUGAAAUCCCCGGGCUUAACCUGGGAAUGGCGAUGGUGACUGCAAGGCUAGAGUUUGGCAGAGGGGGGGUAGAAUUCCACGUGUAGCAGUGAAAUGCGUAGAGAUGUGGAGGAACACCGAUGGCGAAGGCAGCCCCCUGGGUCAAGACUGACGCUCAUGCACGAAAGCGUGGGGAGCAAACAGG